CAAAGUAUAGCUAAGAUAGAAAUAGCAUUUCGUUUACAUUGAAAUAAAUUAUCGUGCAAAUCGAUUUACUUUGA
rnacentral:tRNA from 1 species